AAGUCUGAUGUGAAAAUGCAGGGCUCAACUCUGUAUUGCGUUGGAAACUGUAUAACUAGAGUACUGGAGAGGUAAGCGGAACUACAAGUGUAGAGGUGAAAUUCGUAGAUAUUUGUAGGAAUGCCGAUGGGGAAGCCAGCUUACUGGACAGAUACUGACGCUGAAGCGCGAAAGCGUGGGUAGCAAACAGGAUUAGAUACCCUGGUAGUCCACGCUGUAAACGAUGAUUACUAGGUGUUGGGGGUCGAACCUCAGCGCCCAAGCAAACGCGAUAAGUAAUCCGCCUGGGGAGUACGUACGCAAGUAUGAAACUCAAAGGAAUUGACGGGGACCCGCACAAGCGGUGGAGCAUGUGGUUUAAUUCGACGCAACGCGAGGAACCUUACCAGCGUUUGACAUC
rnacentral:rRNA from 1 species